GGGCUGGGGCUCAGAGGUAGAGUGCUUGCCUAGCAUGCAGGGGCACUGGGUUUGAUUCUCAGCACCACA
rnacentral:tRNA from 1 species